UGAUGAUGCCUGCACCGAUGCCUGCAGACUGGGGGGCUGGUAAAAUGCUCCUUACAGAAUGUUCAGCUUCUAUCAGUGAAAGGCAGAACCUGACAGAAAGCAGAUUUCAUAUUGAUAAAUCUCUCCCUUAACUAUGGUGGACCCACCACAGGCAUGAAUGUCAUCUUUACAGAGGAAGAGAAAUAACAGGAAGAAUUACAUCGUGCGGCAGUUUUUUGUUGUGGUGAAUUUAAGUUAUUUUAUAUACUGGGAGUAGUUGAUAUGGUGCAGGGCAAGGCUGCCAUCAUCCCAGAAGGAAUGGAGAAGAAUCUGGGUGACAGGAGCAUCAUGAAGUUCAAAAAUUCAAACUUGAAGUCCUGCACCUUGUAAACAGCGACACCAUGCAGCAGUACAAACUGGGGACAGGCUGGCUAGAAACUAGCUUUAUAUAAGAGGACCUAGAGGUCUUGAUGGACAUCGAGCUAAAUGUGAGUCAAGAAUGUGCCACUGCAUGAGUGAGAGCCAAGCACAGAAGACACUGGGCUGCAUUAGUAACAGCAGAGGCAGCAGGUUGAGGUUUUGCAGAGAAACACUCAUUAUUCUUGAAGCAGAAUCUGGGGAAGCUCCAUCUCAGCAUACAUGACCUCUGUACAAAGAAAAAGGUUGCGUUGUGCCUGAGGAACAAAGCUCUAGAAUUAAGUCUGUAACAGCUAAGAUAUGCUGGGCCAUGGAGCAUCUCUGCAAGCCUCCAAAUAGCCCACAGGAAAAUCUCAGAAGGACCCUGUGAGUGGCAGUUAUGUAAGACAAAACUUGAUCCAAGCCAUUGAGUGCCAUAUCCUAGAGAUAGGAGAAAAUGGCAGGUGUGAUGAACUGGGGCUGGGUGUGUUCAUGGAGUUUUUGUGCUGUCUGGAGUUUCCUCACUUGGAAGGCUUCAUAUGUUGCUAUUUUGCAUUGCUCUGGACAUGAUGAAAAGUAGGAAAGCACAAACAAGUGAACCAGAGCAUCAUAAAGCAGCCUAGAAUGAAAUUUUUGGUGUAGUGGAGGCAACAGAAAACACCACUGAGAGGCACCAGUGAGCAGCUUUAGUGACAGUGAGCACACUGGAAAUGCUCGCAGACUGGUUGGGUUUGAUGCCUGCUUCUUUGAGGAUGCAAAAGCUGUCCAGAAAUUAUCUAGAGUUUCACUGAAGUCACCCUAGGAGUGUUUCAGCUGAUUUGCGGAUGACUUCUAGCUUUGGCCUGAAGCCAUGGGAAAUGAGAAUUUAUGUUAUAUGUUCCUACCAGCUGAGAAGAAAGCUGGAGUGACAUCAAGCUGGAGAAUGGAGUGUAGGUGUGCAUAAAGAGACAUGGGAGAAUUCACCUCCUUGGAGAUAUGUGAUCCCACAGCCAGGAAGGAGUCCUGUGGCACCCACUAACAGGAGGAGCUGGAAUCCUGAGCUUGUAUAUGCCUGGGGGAAAACAGGAAAAACACUUUCAUGUCUCUAUAGAGCAUUUCAGGCAAGCCAGAAGUUUGCACUCAGGUGGAUAAGUAGUCAAGUAUCAUUAAUACAUGUAGCUCUUAUCCAUAACCUUGCCAAACUCAUUUUGUAACACAGCCGUAACCAUGCAACAAAGCACUAUGUGAACUAAAACAGGACAGAGAUGAUUUUACAUGAAACAAAACAGGGUUUACACAUUCACAUACCCUCAUGCUUUCAAACACCAAAACAAAUGGGUCCAGUGCUCCAGCCCAGGUGACUUGUGGUGGUGAAGAUGGAAAGUGACAUCUGUAGGCAUCUCAACACGUCUCCUAGGUUCUUCAUGGACUGGAAGCCAAGUGCUGCUCUCGGAUCUCCUAAGAGUUGACAGUGUGAUCUUUUGUUUCCUCAUCCUGUUGCACCCCUGGCUUAGUAUUUGCUUUUCUGUCCUUAUCUGGGUGUUUUAUGGCUCCAAGCCUGUUCUUUUCUUCCUUUCAUCACUUCUUGAGGGCUCUGGUUUAUUAGCCUGUCCUUCAUUUUGCUCAGUGUGUAGACUGUCUUCAGGGUGAGAAGGUUCUGGUAAGCCUCUCACAGAUCUGUUAGCACCUUGGUGACCUGCUGGCUGAGGUGCCAUCUGCACCUACCAUUCCGCUCUUCUCUCUGGUGUUCCCACACUUAGGUAAUCACUUUCAUUCAAAAAGUUCUUAGUAUUUUUAUUAAAAAUUCCUCACAUCUUGCAACAUAUGUUUACCAUCUACAGCAGAUUCUCAAGAGUGCAAAUGACUACUGAAGUAGCAAGGAUCUCUAAAGAGGGUCCACUUUAGCCCACCUCCAGUCUGAGGGUCAUUCAGACAUAUGGAACAACACAGAGAGAAAAGGGAGCACUAAAAAGCUGCUCCUAGCUGCCUCUUUCCCGCUCUAUUUUCUCCUGAUCCUGAUCCUGCCCUUUUCAAUUGGCCACUGAACUUGGAUUUCAAAUUAUUUCACUUGAGAAGUUGUACGGAGUUUUAUUGCUUUGCUUUUCACUGAUCUAUUGGCUGCCUGUGCAUUUCUCAGCCACUUUCUGAAAACAGCAGCUGGUAUAGGUGAUGUUUGCAGGUGAAAAGUGGAGCUGCUUAAUAGCUUUCCAGCUGAUAUAGCACCAGCAUUGGAUUAGGUCAUUGUAAUGGCAGCUGAAAACUUUGCUUUAACACAGCUUGAGCAGCUCAGUACACCUUGGUUUAGUGAGAAGAAGCAGUGUCCAGUGUGGCUCGUUAAUGUACUGCUGUAUCUCAAGUGUUUGUUCAACAUGAGCACCAGAGAGUUGGGCACAGUGAAAUAAAACCAGAUCUGCAUGCAAAAACAAAAUUGAAAAAAUUCACCUGAAAGAAAAAUCCAUAUUCCUUUCUCAGUAGCUUUUAUGAAAACUUUUGCCUUCCUCAAAUUACAGUGACUCCAUGCGGCUUAUUCUACAAUACAGAUUUUAAUAUUUUUACUAAAAUUUAUUCCAGCUGUUGCUAAUCAUAGAGAUAUGAAUAAUAUUAUUAUACAGAGAAAAAUCUUGACUAGACUUGGUGCAGAUUUAUUCAUUUGUAAUUUUUCCAUCUUAAAUCCAAAUAUUAAAAGCCAGAUGAAAGGAAGGAAAGGUAAUUGUAACCACUGGUUUCUACUUCACCAUGAUGAAAUUGAGCUUGCUCAGUAAUCGAAGAAUAAGUGUAGAGAUUUCUAUCAGAGUAUCUGAUUUUAUCAGAACAUUUUCAGGGACUGCAAUUCAAUGGAAACCAGGGACGCCAGAUCUUUCAUAUAAAUCACUUUUGGGAGAGGACUGCUGCUGAGCUCCAGCUCAGACAUGCCCAGAAAAAAAUCCACCAACUGAAGCUGAAUAGGGAACACACUUGGGGUCUUCAAACUCUGCCAUUACUGCAGCAUGUAAACUUCUAGGAGGCAAUUACAUUGAGAAAUGUGCUGCCAUCUCUGAAGGCUGAGUCCAGUCAUAGAAUCAUAGUAUGGUUUGUGUUGGAAGGGACCUUAGAUCAUCCACUUCCAUCCCCCCGCUAUAGGCAGGGACACCUCCCUCUAGACCAGGUUGCUCAAAGCCCCAUCCAGCCUGGCCUUCAAUGCUUCCAGGGACAUCCACACCAUAUCUGGGCAACCUCUGCCAGUGUCUCACCAUUACAGGAAAGAACUGGUUCCUGAUAUCUAGUCUAAGUCUAUUGAUUCAAUUCAGUCCUUGCCCAAAAAUGCAUCUUUCACCUCACCAAAGUCAGAUUGUUCUUCACAAUCCAGUGCCUCCGUGCAGUAGUGUUAUGAAUUCCAGCCACUAAGUAUGGAUCUGGGUUCUGUGUCCAAAUCUAUUUCUUAUACUGCAUUUAUUUUCAGUGCCCAACCAUACAGAAAUUUACCCACAUCUUUGCACAGCAGGAAGCAUAUAGUGCCUGAGUUACUAAUGUCCAUUUCUCAGGAAAGCAGUCCUUUAAAAACAACUUCUCUCCAUCGAGGUCCUCUCUUCAAACAGCCUCACACUCAUGCUGAUCUGCUUUUGGUGAGAAUCAGUGUUCCAGCUACAGCAAAAAUGCACUUUGCACUGUAAGAGAAGGAAAUAACUGUUGGGUCAUCUAAGAGUCCUUCAUUCAUUCAGCCAAAAAUGAGACUACCCUGAAUUUAAUUUUUUUGGUUCUGAGUCAUUAGUUGAUUUCUCUGGGAAAAAAAAAAACAAAAACAUAUCUAAAACUGUCUUGUUAAUAUUAUAUAGAUGGAUAAGUGACAGCUCUUAUGACUCAGGCCCUUUGGGCUGCAUUUAUCCCUUGCUCUUAUGCUAUGAAACACACUCUUCCCAACAAAGGCAAGACUGAGAACUCUCUUUAGCUUUGGGAAAGUUCUGCAGUGCUUCCGGAGAAGGAAAACUGCAGAUCCACACUGAAUCAGAAAAGAAAAAUGCACUCUUCUCCACUCCCCAUCCCACCACGUGGCUCCACACCCCAAAGCAAGCACACAAGAAUGUUGAGAAAUAUUACUAUCCUUUGUCAGCAACAAGCCCGUCACUUUGCACACACUGUCUCAUACCUCUCCCCUCUGUCAAACCAUGGAUGCUGCAGCACGGGGGCUUAAAGAACUUCUGUAAUCCUGCCAUUAGGCUAAAGCUUAAACUGGGUCUCUCCAAAGGCAGAAAAGGCAUUUGUUGUAUGAGCUGAAAAAAAGAUUCCCUCUAAUCCAGUAACAACUACAGCAAGCUUUUUUUCAGCUUGAAAUCUCUGGUUUUACACGAGCAUAUGAAGCAGGUGUCAAAUGGAUCUAAAAAUGGGUCACGGAGGAUUCUGUUGCUCACCAUCUGUGUCAGUGAUGGGGAAUGCACAUCCACAGGGACCCCCGAGUACCGUGCGGUAUCUCCUUGCUGAUACAGCUUUGUAGAAUGAAGGGCUUUGUGUUUUCAGUAGUGAUACGUAGUGCGCUCUGUGUCUGCCCAGGAGAGGUGGUUGAUCACAGGGCUGUGGGCUGAACCUCAAGCAGCUACAAACCUACUGAAAAUGAAAGGUCUCCCCUGGGGACAUCAGAUAGCUUUGUCUCCAGAGGAUCACAGGUCCAGAAAAAAGUAGGGUACAGAGGGCAAGAAGUUUCCUCUCCUGUUUGUGAUUCUUCUGGCUCAUAGCCGCAGUUGAAAGUGAAAGCAAAAACUUGAGAACUUCCACUGGGCUUUAGGAAGACUCUGCCAAGACAAACUUCCUGCAGCCUAUACUGACCUAGAGGCAAAUCAGUAUGGCAAUGAGCAAAACAGAUCAUCAACAGGAUUGCUCUAGAUCAGCCCAGCAAAGCAUUCUGUUUUGUGUUUGUUGCAGUGCUCCCGGUAACUCCAAAGCCCCAAUCCUAUUUGGCUGCACAGAGUGAGGGGCUCUGGGUUGUGCAGAUAGCUGCCUCACCACAGCUUCUCCAGCACAAAGCUUUAAUGCUAAACUCAGCUCCGGGUUUUGCAGCACUCACAGAAUCACCGAGGUCAGAAAAGACCGCUAAGAUCACCCAGUCCAACCGUCAGCCCACCACCACCAUGCCUGCUGACCACGUCCCUCAGUGCCACAUCCACACAGUUCUUGAACGCAAGAUGGCAAUUUCCUUUCAUAGCUGACAGAACACGGUGGCUGCCUCGUACUUUUUUCUUUUGGCUUUUUUUUUUUGCUUUUAACGGUAUGAAUGCAAUCUGUACCAACCAAACAUUGUAUGCAUGGCAGAUAGAGUUUCAUCCUGGGGCUACUGAAAUCAAUUGCGAAACCGUUCAGUAACUGACUACAAGCAGAAAUCAAUUGUACCAGUUACCAAAUGGCUUAGUUGAAAUGUAAAAUUAUUUGUUCAGAGAGCAAGAAACUAUUUACUUGUGCUACUUCUGAAAUCUACCUCUAGCUGGGACCAGAUGGUAAUUUAACUUUUAAAUUGUAUUUACUGCAUUCUUAUACUCUAAUCAGUCAGUGCAAAGCUGAACUCUUCAGAAGUCCGCGCUUAAGCUUUAAACUUAAAACUUCUGCAGUUUCUCUCUGCCUUUGAGCUGUUGCCAUCCUCAGACAGUAACAGAUCAAUCGGCGCUCGGCCCUUUGAUGUGUAACAGUUCAGAUGUGACUGCUGCGUGCGUACCCUGCCGUAUGUUCCACUGUGAGUGGAGGCUGAGCCUCCCUACUUCACAAGUAAUGAGCUCCGCUCAAUUAGCAGAGCGAGUUUUUUGAGCGUUGUGUGUAAUUGGUUUCAAGGUCUUCAG